ensembl:lncRNA
CCUGCCGAGGCGGGCUCCACGGCCCCCGCGCGACGCGGCUCCCGAGCCGCCGAGGGCAGGGUGGGGCCGGCGGGCUGGGGGCGCGGCCGUGGCGUCUGUGCACACACACGCACACACCUUUCCUACGUGCACGCUUGGCAUGUGUGUGCGAGUGUAAGCGAGGGCGGCCACAUCUUUUGUCUGGCCUUUGGGAGCGCCUCCGAGCUCGGCGGCUUAGCCCCUUUCUGAGGCGCUGCCCUGGAGCACAGCCCGGAGGGCAGGGCGGCCCCGCGGUGUCUCCGGCCCGGGCUGGCCUCUCCGCCGCCCGAAGAAUCCGGACGGACCCGCCUUUCCCAGCACCGGAGCCUGGGGCUCCUCGGCUCGGCGCACUACCCGAACAAAAGCCGGAAUGGGAGAGACCCCCCUGAGCGGGUGUUUUUGCCCUUAUCGAUGUCCUGCUUCCCUCAGGCCCGCCUUCCCGUAGCCCGUCUGAGGGGACCGGAAGGUGGAAUAUGUGAAAGGAUGCGAAGCCAGGAAGAAAACUCCUUCUUUCACAAUUCCGUGCACUGCCGGGCUGUGUGCACGGCUGUCCCUGCGGCGCGGCCCCCACCUCGCGGUGGCCCUUCGCUCCCGGGGGCCGGGGCCCUGGGGGGCUUCUUCGGGCCGGUGACAGGGAACUCGCGCUGGGGGGCUGCUGCCCCGGCGCGAAGGGCGGGGCCGCGUCUUCGCACCCAGGCGAGGGAGAAGGUCCUGUGGGCGCCGCAGCCGCCCUGGAUCGGGAAAGGAUACUGUUAGUGGGUUUCGUUGAAUUGCAAAAACCCGAGCAACCCGGAGAGGGGAAGGGACUUCUCCCGCCCCCCGCAGCGCUCACACAGCCCUGGGGGUCAGGUCGACGUGGGUGGGAUUUUGCCGGGGGAAGGGGGCGGGGGCGUGCGAGGCGCCAUGAUCGGAAGUCUGGGUUUGACUGCUGCCUGCGAGGUGGAAAAUUCGCGGGGGUUGGGUGACGGCGAUCCGAGAGGUGGGGUCCAGCCUCCCCUGGUCGUGCUGGUAGUUCUCGUGGGUAAGGGCAGUCCCGAGGAUACACUUGUGAAGUCAAACUCUUUGCUGGUUUAUUCAAGUCCCUUUUUAUCUCUUUAUCUGAACUUAAUGUAAAUAAAUCUCCACAUUCCUUAAACUGGUUGCUUUUAUCAUACUAAAUAUCUUCUAUAAUUAGAGAUUGUGGUAAUACCAGCCCAGGAUUCUCAGACUCUUUUUAGUGGAAAUAUUUUUAUACUGUUUACCCUUCAGGCAGAGGGAAAUUUUUCUGUGUAGUAAAAUCCCUUAAAAAGGAAAGAAAAUUAGAAGGAAGAUAUGCUUUGAUUCGUUAGCUUUAUUACUAUAUUUUGUUUUACCCAAAAGGCCUAAAUAAGAAAUUGGUAUUGUUUUACCACUGACUUUCAAGAAAAUCCAAUCUAGCACUCAGAGAAAUAGGAUUUUCAUAUGUUAGAGGUGCAGAAAGUGUAGUAGUUGGUAGUGUGCUGUUUUUCUUUCUCAAAUUGGGAUCAAGUACUGGAUUAUUCUAUUUUUAUUUACAUCAGAGUUUUCCUAAGAAACAAUAAGUAGCCUAUACAUAUUAUAAAUGUGUGAUGAAUUAUAUUGAAAAGAAGAAAGGGUCCUAGGGAACUCACAUAAAAAAAUAGGCCACUGACUUGGUAGGAAUAAUUAGUAGACAACUAAAUAGGAAACUCUCUUCCCUUUUCUGUUGCUCCUUGUAAUACCUCGCUUGAGACAUGGCUGUUCACUCACUAUGAGAAAGGACAUCAGAGAAGAGCUAGAAUCUGGCAAUCAGUCUGUCCACUCAGAGUGACAGACAGACAAUGCAAGUCAAGCUCAGAAUUGUGAGCAACUUAAAAAGAAGCAUGAUCUCUUAUUGAUCAUUGUAUCCACAACAGUAAGCACAGUAACUAGCACAUAAUAGGCCCUCAAUAAAGACUACUGAAAUCAAUUGAAUUGAAAUUGUUUAGGACUGCCCUUAUAAUGGGGUGAAUAGGGAUGGUGCUGAGACCUUGGAAUUCCUUCUGAGGAAGCCUGGCCCAUCCUCCUCUACUUUAUAUGUGGGACGCCUCCCACAGCAUGGCUUGCCAAGCGGUGCCAUGUCCGCACCCGGGAUCCGAACCGUGGAACCACAGGCCGCUGAAGCGGAACGUGCGCACUUAACCCCUGCACCACUGGGCCAG